GCUUCAUUCAAAAUAUGAUUGGCAGCACUGAAAAGUGUUUGACUUGUGUAGCCUUUUCCUUCAUAAAUUACAUCAUUGUUGAUUAUAUAAAAAAUAAAUAAUGAAAAACAUUUGAGGAAUUUUUCUUCUAAUUUAUGGAGCAAAACCAGAUAUUUUUCCCAAAAGAAAUUGUGUGAUAAUAAAUAAUAGAUAGUACUUGCUAUUUAUAGAAAAUUUGUAAUCUUUAAUAAAAUCUUUGCUUUUAAUCUUUUGUUUAAGUGGCCAUUUAAGAUGUGAGAACUACUGAGCAGAACAAAAAGAAUCUGAAUUCUGAAUCUUAUGUAUGAUGUUGCAUUGCUUAUUGAAACUCCAGGAAAAUAAAAUUCAUGGAAGCAAAUUCAACUAGUUGUCUUUGUCUAAUUACUCUUACCUUAACUUGACUUUUUUUUCUUGAAACUGGCGUCUCUUCAACACAACAGCACAUCAUGACUCUUAAUUCCUGGUUUUAAAUUGUUGUCUUUGGGAAAUCACAUCUUUAUUUGUUGGUCAAUCUUCAAUUGCUGAUUAAAUUUCUGAACAUAUUAAGAGACCUAAGCUUGAGGCAGGUAUCUGUUAUGACCCAGAAGAUUUCUGAAUCCACUAUGAUCAGACAUAUUCUGUCCUUUGUAGUUGCUGAAAUCUUAUCCAUGAUUCAAAUUUAUGCGAGAUUGAUUCGAACGAGAUGAUGGACUUGAUCUCCAAUCAAAAGAUUUAGAUCUACAUGACCUGAAGCUGAUCUUCUGAGGCAUCUCUGAAAUCUGAAGCGGUUGACUUUGUCCAUAGAUGUCCCAAUUCUUUGCAGAUAAAAAUGGAAAAUAUCCAUCCCUGAACUCCAGGAUUAUCAGCUGGAGUCAUAGCAAGAGUUGCUGGGGUGCUGUUAUUGGCAGUUUGCAUAUAUGUUGGAGUUUACAAGAAGAAGAAAGUGCAGGACAAAAUAUUGCUUUCUGCAAGAUCUGAACAUCAAUCAAUUCAAGCUGCAAGGGGUAGGACCUGCUCCUGCUCUAAUUAAGGCUGAGGUGCCAUGGUCAGCUCGAAGGGGAACCUUCUCUAAUAAGGAUCGUGUUUUGAAGACAGUGAAAGGGUAAUUUAUUCUGAAGAUAUUUGUAUGAUUUCCUGA